rnacentral:rRNA from 1 species
CGCCUCUUGUCUAACAAUAAGAGGUCUAGCCUGCCCAGUGAUAAAUUCAACGGCCGCAGUACCCUAACUGCGCGAAGGUAGCAUAAUCACUUGUUCUUUAAAUAGGGACUAGUAUCAACGGCAUCACGAGGGUUGCACUGUCUCCUUUAUCUAAUCAGUGAAACUGAUCUCCCCGUGAAAAAGCGGGGAUUCACCUAUAAGACGAGAAGACCCCAUGGAGCUUUAAACCCACAGCAACUCAACUAAAUAAUCCCAUACACUCAUAGAGAUAUGCCUGUCGGCUUUAGGUUGGGGUGACCAUGGAGUAAAAACUACCCUCCAUAACGCAAAGACCUAAAUCUUUAUUCAAGAGCUACCACUCUAAAAAUUAGUACACUAAUGUUCAAUGACCCGAUAAUCGAUUAAUGAACCAAGUUACCCUGGGGAUAACAGCGCAAUCUAUUUCAAGAGUUCAUAUCGACAAAUAGGCUUACGACCUCGAUGUUGGAUCAGGGUAUCCCAGUGGUGUAGAAGCUACUGAAGGUUCGUUUGUUCAACGAUUAAAACCCU